CCCUUAGAUGUUCUGGGCCGCACGCGCGCUACACUGACGGAGUCAACGAGUUGUCCUGCAUCGGAAGGUGUGGGUAAUCUUUUGAAACUUCGUCGUGCUGGGGAUAGAUCUUUGCAAUUUUCGAUCUUGAACGAGGAAUUCCUAGUAAGCGUGAUUCAUCAGAUCGCGUUGAUUACGUCCCUGCCCUUUGUACACACCGCCCGUCGCUACUACCGAUUGAAUGGUUUAGUGAGGCCUCGGGACUGGCGCGCUCGAGUAGCAAUACACCUGCGCGCCGGGAACUUGGUCAAACUUGNUNAUUUAGNGGAAGUAAAANUCGUANCA
rnacentral:rRNA from 1 species